GUGAGGAAUUUUGGACAAUGGGCGCAAGCCUGAUCCAGCGACGCCGCGUGGAGGACGAAGGCCUUCGGGUUGUAAACUCCUUUUGGAGGGGAAGAAUAAAUUGACGGUACCCUCAGAAAAAGCCACGGCUAACUACGUGCCAGCAGCCGCGGUAAUACGUAGGUGGCGAGCGUUACUCGGAAUUACUAGGCGUAAAGCGUAUGUAGGUGGUUAGAUAAGUCUAUGGUGAAAUUUCCUGGCUUAACUGGGAAGGGACAUAGAUACUAUCUGGCUUGAGUGUGGGAGGGGGAGACGGAAUUCCUGGUGUAGCGGUGAAAUGCGUAGAUAUCAGGAGGAACACCGAUGGCGAAAGCAGUCUCCUGGCCCAAUACUGACACUGAGGUACGAAAGCUAGGGUAGCAAACAGGAUUAGAAACCCGGGUAGUCC
rnacentral:rRNA from 1 species